rnacentral:rRNA from 1 species
UACGAAGGGCGCUAGCGUUGUUCGGAAUCAUUGGGCGUAAAGCGCACGUAGGCGGCUUUGUCAGUCAGGGGUGAAAUCCCGGGGCUCAACCUCGGAACUGCCUUUGAUACAGCAAGUCUUGAGUUCGAGAGAGGUGGGUGGAAUUCCUAGUGUAGAGGUGAAAUUCGUAGAUAUUAGGAAGAACACCGGUGGCGAAGGCGGCCCACUGGCUCGAUACUGACGCUGAGGUGCGAAAGCGUGGGGAGCAAACAGG